rnacentral:rRNA from 1 species
GACCACCUGGUCGGCGGGUUAAAGCUUCGGCGGCGGGGGAUGGCCAUGCGUGCCAUUAGCUGGUUGGUGGGGUAAUAGCCCACCAAGGCGAUGAUGGCUAGGGGGUCUGAGAGGACUGUCCCCCACACUGGUACUGAGACACGGACCAGACUCCUACGGGAGGCAGCAGUGAGGAAUAUUGGACAAUGGAUGGAAAUCUGAUCCAGCCAUGCCGCGUGCAGGAAGACGGCCUUAUGGGUUGUAAACUGCUUUUAUACGGGAGCAAUAAGGGUUACGAGUAAUCCGAUGAGAGUACUGUAUGAAUAAGGAUCGGCUAACUCCGUGCCAGCAGCCGCGGUAAUACGGAGGAUCCGAGCGUUAUCCGGAAUUAUUGGGUUUAAAGGGUGCGUAGGCGGCCAUUUAAGUCAGCGGUGAAAUUUUGCAGCUUAACUGUAACAGUGCCGUUGAUACUGUUUGGCUAGGAUUUGGUUGUAGUGUGCGGAAUGUGUGGUGUAGCGGUGAAAUGCUUAGAUAUCACACAGAACACCGAUUGCGAAGGCAGCACACUAAGUCAUUAUUGACGCUGAGGCACGAAAGUGUGGGGAUCAAACAGGAUUAGAUACCCUGGUAGUCCACACUGUAAACUAUAAAAGUCGCUGUCGGCGAUACACAGUCGGUGGCCAAGAGAAAGCAUUAAGUUUUCCUCCCGGGGGGUGCGACCGCAAGGUUGAAACUCAAAAGAAUUGACGGGGGGCCGCACAAGCGGAGGAACAUGUGGUUUAAUUCGAUGAUACGCGAGGAACCUUACCCGGGCUCGAACGGUGCAUGAAUAUACGAGAGAUUGUAUAGUCCUUCGGGACAUGUAUCGAGGUGCUGCAUGGUUGUCGUCAGCUCGUGCCGUGAGGUGUCGGCUUAAGUGCCAUAACGAGCGCAACCCUUGUCAUUAGUUGCCAUCAGGUCAAGCUGGGGACUUUAAUGAGACUGCCACCGUAAGGUGUGAGGAAGGGGGGGAGGACGUCAAAUCAGCACGGCCCUUAUGUCCGGGGGGACACACGUGUUACAAUGGGAGGUACAGAGGGCAGCUAUCCGGUGACGGAAUGAUAAUCUCCAAAACCUUUCUCAGUUCGGAUUGGAGUGUGCAACUCGACUCCAUGAAGGUGGAUUCGCUAGUAAUCGCGCAUCAGCCAUGGCGCGGUGAAUAAGGUCCCGGGCCUUGUACUCACCGCCCGUCAA